GGCGGCCGGGUUAGUAACGCGGGGGAAAAGCCCUUCAUCAGGAUAGCCCCUGGAGACGGAGAGUAAACCUCAUACGCCCCACGGGGGAGAGAUUUCAUCGGUGAGGGAUUCGGCCCGCGUUAGAUCCAGUUAGUUCGGUGGGGUAACGGCCUACCAAGACUACGAUUCUAUAGCUCGGUUUCGAGAGAACGAUCAGCAACACUCGGGACUCGAGACACGGCCCAGACUCCUACGGGAGGCAGCAGUGGGGAAUCUCAGACAAUGGGGGAAACCCUGAUUCUAGCGACGCCGCGUGAGUGACGAAGGCCCUAGGGUCGUAAAGCUUCUUUUCGCCAAGGAUGAUAAUGACAGUACUUCGGUAAAGAAACCCCGGCUAACUCCGUGCCAGCAGCCGCGGUAAUACGGAGGGGGUUAGCGUUUGUUCGGAAUUUACUGGGCGUAAAGCGCACGUAGGCGGACUUUUUAAGUUUAGAGGUGAAAUCCCGGGGCUUCAACCCCGGAACUUGCCUUUUAAUACUGGAAGUCUUUGAGUUCGAGAGAGGUGAGUGGAAUUUCCGAGUGUAGAGGUGAAAUUCGUAGAUAUUCGGAGGAACACCAGUGGCGAAGGCGGCUCACUGGCUCGAUACUGACGCUGAGGUGCGAAAGUGUGGGGAGCAAACAGGAUUAGAUACCCUGGUAGUCCACACCGUAAACGAUGAAUG
rnacentral:rRNA from 1 species